rnacentral:rRNA from 1 species
CCUACGGGCGGCAGCAGUGAGGAAUAUUGGUCAAUGGGCGAGAGCCUGAACCAGCCAAGUCGCGUGAGGGAGUACUGCCCUAUGGGUUGUAAACCUCUUUUGUCGGGGAGCAAAAGCCGGACGUGUCCGGCUGUGAGAGUACCCGAAGAAAAAGCAUCGGCUAACUCCGUGCCAGCAGCCGCGGUAAUACGGAGGAUGCGAGCGUUAUCCGGAUUUAUUGGGUUUAAAGGGUGCGCAGGCGGAUUUUUAAGUCAGCGGUAAAAUCGUGGGGCUCAACCCCAUCCAGCCGUUGAAACUGGGGAUCUAGAGUGUGCGAGAGGUAUGCGGAAUGCGUGGUGUAGCGGUGAAAUGCAUAGAUAUCACGCAGAACCCCGAUUGCGAAGGCAGCAUACCGGCGCACAACUGACGCUCAGGCACGAAAGCGUGGGUAUCGAACAGAAUUAGAUACCCCAGUAGUC